rnacentral:rRNA from 1 species
CACGUAGGGGGCUAGCGUUAUCCGGAAUUACUGGGCGUAAAGGGUGCGUAGGUGGUUUCUUAAGUCAGAGGUGAAAGGCUACGGCUCAACCGUAGUAAGCUCUUGAAACUGUAAGACUUGAGUGCAGGAGAGGAGAGUGGAAUUCCUAGUGUAGCGGUGAAAUGCGUAGAUAUCGGGAAGAACACCAGUGGCGAAGGCGGCUCUCUGGCCUGUAACUGACGCUGAGGCGCGAAAGCUAGGGUAGCGAACGGGAUUAGAUACCCCCGUAGUCCCUGAGCGGG